UAAUGGGGGUACCCUGCCUGCUUCACGAGU
rnacentral:piRNA from 1 species